rnacentral:lncRNA from 1 species
GUUUUCCAAAGUCCUCUAUCUUUUGAAGACCUAAGAGGGUUCACGAAGGAGGUUAAAGAAAGAGGCAAUUCAUAGAGUAACUUGAGCAUUUGAAUCAAGGCAUUGGGAAUAAGAAAGGAUCCUCCCAAGACCAUACAGCCAACCCCAGGCCAAGGCAGAAAAGAAAGAGGGUGUAUGAUUCCAAAGAGGAAUAGUUGCAAGCUCAGAUGUUCAAAUGCCUUCAAAGAAUCAGAAGGUAUUAUGAACAAAUAAAUGAGUAAAGCUGGUAAAGAGACAAGCGGGAGUGGUAAGGAUUAAGUCUACCUGGGGUUUUAUGUCCUAAGUAUAUAAUUUUGUUUAAAAAAUGUAUACUAUGCUGGUGAAAAAAACACAUCUUGGGCUUCAUUCCACCCACUGGCAAUCUCUGAAUCUAGCUAGUUGUGAUAGCCUUGUAAAAGAUUUUUGUGCCUCAAGCAUGAAAUAAAAUCUGCAGAGCCAGCCACAGUGCUGUGCACCUGUAGACUAAGCUACUCCAGAGGUGGGGCAGGAGGAUUGCUUGAGCCCAGGAGAUCUGUGCUGUAGUGCACUAUGCCAAUGGGAUGUCUGCACUAAAUGCAACAUCAAUAUGGUGACCUCCCAGGAGCAGAGGACCAGCAGGAUGCCUAUGGAGGGGUGAUCCAGCCCGGGUCAGAAACAGAGCAGGACAAAACUUCCAUGCUGAUCAGCAGUGGGAUCACAUCUGUGAAUAGCCACUGCCAGUCUGGACAACAUAGAAAGACCCUAUCUCUAAAAAAAUAAAUAAAUAAAUAAAUAAAUAAAUAAAUAAAUAAAUAAAUGAUACAGAGAGGCAGUAGUUCUAAUACAGCCCUGUAGACAGCAGAAAACUGUAAACCAAUGACCUGGUAACAAGGGAGACAUCUCCCCACAUCAGAUGCCUGGGGAAUGUGAAUGACCAUGGAACUGUGAUCUAAAUUCUGGGCUUGGAGGGGGCAGAGAAAGUCCAAGAAUGGCUUAGGUUAAGUAGCCCUUCCCCAGCUACAAGCCCAGUGGGAUGGGAAAAAUUAGGUUAAUUUAUAAAAAUAUUUUAAAGGUACAAUAUUUGUGUAUAAAGUUGAAAUUCCUAUAACUACAAACAUUGAAGGAUAUGUUUGGGUUAAUUCAAUUCUCCAUACAUCUACUCUGCACUGCCUAUAUAUCUCUGCUGUGUGUAUAUGUGUCUCUUACAUAGAUAUUGAAUUGAGUUGUACUGUA